rnacentral:rRNA from 1 species
UACGGAGGGUGCGAGCGUUGUUCGGAAUUACUGGGCGUAAAGCGCGUGUAGGCGGCUUCUUAAGUCUGGUGUGAAAGCCCGGGGCUCACCCCCGGAAGUGCAUUGGAUACUGAGAAGCUGGAGUACCGGAGAGGAAGGUGGAAUUCCUGGUGUAGCGGUGAAAUGCGUAGAUAUCAGGAGGAACACCGGUGGCGAAGGCGGCCUUCUGGACGGAUACUGACGCUGAGACGCGAAAGCGUGGGGAGCAAACAGG